GAUGAAGAACGUAGCGAAAUGCGAUAAGUAAUGUGAAUUGCAGAAUUCAGUGAAUCAUCGAAUCUUUGAACGCACAUUGCGCCCGCCAGUAUUCUGGCGGGCAUGCCUGUUCGAGCGUCAUUACAACCCUCAAGCCCCCCGGCUUGGUGUUGGGGACCGGCCACCGGUGCCCUGCUGCUUCCGCGGCAGGCGCACCCGGCCGCCCCCGAAAUGAAUUGGCGGCCCCGUCGCGGCCUCCCUCUGCGUAGUAGCAAACAUCUCGCAGCUGGAGCGCGGCGCGGCCACUGCCGUAAAACGCACCAACUUUUUUUACAGUUGACCUCGAAUCAGGUAGGAAUACCCGCUGAACUUAAGCAUAUCAAUAAGCGGAGGA
rnacentral:misc_RNA from 1 species